rnacentral:rRNA from 1 species
AUUGAACGCUGGCGGCAGGCCUAACACAUGCAAGUCGAGCGAGCGGCGGACGGGUGAGUAAUGUAUGGGGACUGCACGAUAGAGGGGGAUAACUACUGGAAACGGUAGCUAAUACCGCAUACUAUCGGAUAACCCAUAUGUGAUUAGCUAGUAGGUGGGGUAAUGGCUCACCUAGGCGACGAUCCCUAGCGGGUCUGAGAGGAUGAUAGGCCACACUGGGACUGAGAGACGGCACGGACUACUACGGAGGCAGCAGUGGGGAAUAUUGCACAAUGGGCGCAAGCCUGAUGCAGCCAUGCCGCGAUUAUGAAUAAGGCCCUAGGGUUGUAAAGUACUUUCAGUCGGGAGGCGUUACCUACAGAAGAAGCACCGGCUAACUCCGUGCCAGCAGCCGCGGUAAUUC